rnacentral:rRNA from 1 species
UGGGGAAUAUUGGGCACUGGGCGCAAGCCUGACCCAGCAACGCCGCGUGAAGGAAGAAGGCUUUCGGGUUGUAAACUUCUUUUCUCAGGGACGAACAGAUGACGGUACCUGAGGAAUAAGCCACGGCUAACUACGUGCC